UACGUAGGGGGCAAGCGUUGUCCGGAAUCACUGGGCGUAAAGGGCGCGUAGGCGGCGGUUCAAGUCGGGGGUGAGAGCCUGUGGCUCAACCACAGAAUGGCCUUCGAUACUGGACGGCUGGAGACCGGAAGAGGUGAGUGGAACUGCGAGUGUAGAGGUGAAAUUCGUAGAUAUUCGCAAGAACACCAGUGGCGAAGGCGGCUCACUGGUCCGGGUCUGACGCUGAGGCGCGAAAGCGUGGGGAGCAAACAGG
rnacentral:rRNA from 1 species